GGGGAAUAUUGGACAAUGGGGGCAACCCUGAUCCAGCAAUGCCGCGUGUGUGAAGAAGGCCUGAGGGUUGUAAAGCACUUUCAGUGGGGAGGAGGAUUGAUAGGUUAAGAGCUAAUUGAUUGGACGUUACCCACAGAAGAAGCACCGGCUAACUCCGUGCCAGCAGCCGCGGUAAUACGGAGGGUGCAAGCGUUAAUCGGAAUUACUGGGCGUAAAGCGUGCGUAGGUGGUUAAUUAAGUUAUCUGUGAAAUCCCUGGGCUUAACCUGGGCAGGUCAGAUGAUACUGGUUGACUCGAGUAUGGGAGAGGGUAGUGGAAUUUCCGGUGUAGCGGUGAAAUGCGUAGAGAUCGGAAGGAACACCAGUGGCGAAGGCGGCUACCUGGCCUAAUACUGACACUGAGGCACGAAAGCGUGGGGAGCAAACAGGA
rnacentral:rRNA from 1 species